rnacentral:rRNA from 1 species
UGGGGAAUAUUGGACAAUGGGCGCAAGCCUGAUCCAGCCAUGCCGCGUGUGUGAAGAAGGCCUUUUGGUUGUAAAGCACUUUAAGCGAGGAGGAGGCUACUUGGAUUAAUACUCUAGGAUAGUGGACGUUACUCGCAGAAUAAGCACCGGCUAACUCUGUGCCAGCAGCCGCGGUAAUACAGAGGGUGCGAGCGUUAAUCGGAUUUACUGGGCGUAAAGCGUGCGUAGGCGGCUUCUUAAGUCGGAUGUGAAAUCCCUGAGCUUAAAUUAGGAAUUGCAUUCGAUACUGGGAAGCUAGAAUAUGGGAGAGGAUGGUAGGAUUCCAGGUGUAGCGGUGAAAUGCGUCGAGAUCUGGAGGAAUACCGAUGGCGAAGGCAGCCAUCUGGCCUAAUACUGACGCUGAGGUACGAAAGCAUGGGGAGCAAACAGG